UACAGAGGUCUCAACCGUUGUUCGGAUUCAUUGGGCGUAAAGGGUGCGUAGGCGGUCGCGCAAGUCGGAUGUGAAAUCUCAGGGCUCAACCCUGAAACUGCAUUCGAUACUGCGUGGCUAGAGUGCUGGAGAGGAGACUGGAAUUUACGGUGUAGCAGUGAAAUGCGCAGAUAUCAGGAGGAACACCUGUGGCGAAAGCGGCGCACUGGACCACAUCUGACGCUGAGGCGCGAAAGCGUGGGGAGCAAACAGG
rnacentral:rRNA from 1 species